GAUGAACGCUCGCUACAGGCUUAACACAUGCAAGUCGAGGGGAAACGAUGAGAGAGCUUGCUCUCUUAGGCGUCGACCGGCGCACGGGUGAGUAACGCGUAUCCAACCUACCCAUUACAGGGGGAUAACCUUGCGAAAGUAAGACUAAUACCCCAUGGCAUUUUAUGGUGGCAUCAUUAUAGGAUUAAAGAUUUAUUGGUAAUGGAUGGGGAUGCGUCUGAUUAGCUUGUUGGCGGGGUAACGGCCCACCAAGGCAACGAUCAGUAGGGGUUCUGAGAGGAAGGUCCCCCACAUUGGAACUGAGACACGGUCCAAACUCCUACGGGAGGCAGCAGUGAGGAAUAUUGGGCAAUGGGCGAGAGCUUGAACCAGCCAAGUAGCGUGCAGGAUGACGGCCCUAUGGGUUGUAAACUGCUUUUAUAGGGGAAUAAAGUGAGCUACGUGUAGUUUAUUGCAUGUACCCUAUGAAUAAGGACCGGCUAAUUCCGUG
rnacentral:rRNA from 1 species